GAUCUUAUAAAUCUUUCUAAAAUACUCCGGAAAUGGAACCAACAAAAAGGUAAGAAAACUAAGAAACAACUUGAACCCUUAAUUUCCAAACUAGAUUGAACAAGUAUUAACUUUCUUGACAUUUUCUCAGAAUCACAGUUUAAGUAAAUCUCCACAACAUUGAAAACGACUUAAAUCACGUAUGAUUAUGAACUAAUCUUCAAAUGGGCAUAACAAAAUAGUAUAAAUUCCAAAUUCAG
rnacentral:lncRNA from 1 species